GCUGGCACAUCCCGGCCAAUCUCCAGCAGACCCUCUCUCCCAGACCCUCCCACCUCCUGGACAGCAUCCAUGUUGAAGCUGCCUUCAACAUGGAUGCUGUCCAGGAGGUGGGAGGGUCUGGGAGGGAGGGUCUGCUGGAGAUUGGCUGGGAUGUGUCAG